UAGUGUGUAUAUAAUGCAGUGUGUUUGUGUAGUGUGCAUUAUAUAAACACACUACACAAACACACUGCAUUAUAUACACACACU